AAUCAAAAUCACUCCCUGUGAUCGGUGCCCUGUUGGAGGGAUUAUUAACCAAAAUUGCAACUGCAUAAAUGGCAAAUGGAUUUUGAAAUUUGAAUGCGGUGGUCCCAAAGUUAACCAAGUCACACUGGAAGCCACUAAACUCAGUAACCGUGGGGUGAUUUCUAAAACAUGUCCUAUAAUCACAUGCACAACCAGCAGUUUUCUUUUGACUGUGCAGGUAGAAGCUGGGCGUGUAAAGGUUUCCAAUGGUGAUAACAUUUGUGGAAGUUGCAACAGCGGAGUUACCAUUAAUCCUCUCAGCAAAAAGCCAACCAACUGUAUUUCAGGAAAAAAGAUUGAUAUCUCAGUGUCUAAUCGAUUUCCAAAAACAGUAAAGAUAGAUUUUCGAGAUGUCCAUGAAGUAUACAAUAUCAGUGACUGUAU